AUUGUACUCCCUCCGUCCGGAAAUACUUGUCGGAGAAAUAAAUGUAUCUAGAUGUAUUUUAAUUCUAGAUACAUCCAUUUCCAUUCGUUUAUGCAACAAGUAAUUCCGGACGGAGGGAGUACAAC
rfam:Triticum aestivum genome assembly, contig: Triticum_aestivum_CS42_TGACv1_scaffold_393570_5AS